CAAGUCGCGUGCGCAGUUGCCGUAGCAAUACGGUGAUGGGCGCACGGCGCACGGGUGCGUAACACGUGGGCAAUCUGCCCUUUGAUGGGGAAUAACCCGCCGAAAGGCGGGCUAAUUCCGCAUAAGAUUCCCGAGACUUAGGUUUUGGGAUUGAAAGCAGCAAUGCGUCGAAGGAGGAGCCCGCGCCCGAUUAGCUAGUUGGUGAGGUAACGGCUCACCAAGGCUAUGAUCGGUAGCUGGUCUGAGAGGAUGAUCAGCCACACUGGAACUGAGACACGGUCCAGACUCCUACGGGAGGCAGCAGUGGGGAAUUUUGCACAAUGGGCGAAAGCCUGAUGCAGCGACGCCGCGUGGGGGAUGAAGCAUUUCGGUGUGUAAACCCCUUUCGACUGGGAAGAAUACCUCGCAAGAGGGGUGACGGUACCAGUAGAAGAAGCCCCGGCUAACUACGUGCCAGCAGCCGCGGUAAGACGUAGGGGGCCAGCGUUGUUCGGAAUUACUGGGUGUAAAGGGUUCGUAGGCGGUGCGGCAAGUUGGGAGUGAAAUCUCUGGGCUUAACCCAGAGGCUGCUUCCAAAACUGCUGUGCUCGAGUGUGAGAGAGGCUCGUGGAAUUGCAGGUGUAGCGGUGAAAUGCGUAGAUAUCUGCAGGAACACCCGUGGCGAAAGCGGCGAGCUGGAUCACUACUGACGCUGAGGAACGAAAGCUAGGGGAGCAAACAGGAUUAGAUACCCUGGUAGUCCUAGCCCUAAACGAUCAGGACUUGGGGUGCCGCCCGUUCGGGCGUCGUCCCGGAGCUAACGCGUUAAGUCC
rnacentral:rRNA from 1 species